UCAUUCCUUUUUAUGUUUGUUUUUGCUUUCAUUUGAAUUGUCACUAUCCUAUGCUCUUGCCUGACAGACCCUGAGAGCCUACUGACCACAGCAGCUCCUGUUACCACGGCUGCCGUUUCUGCUCUCAAUGCUACUGCUCAUUGAUCCCAGGGAGGAAAAUUCUGGUGCAUCACUUAGUAUUUAUUUCAGAUUUCAACCAAAACAACAUAUUGCAAGAUUGAAUGCAGAAGUAGAUGUGAGAACUCAUUCUAUUAAGCCAAGCGUAAAUGUUUAAAAAUGUAAAAUAAUACCACUCUUCUGAUAUGUUUUGGGAGAAAAUAUGUUUGUGGAAAAUAUACCUAUCAAAGAAAUAUCAGAAACCUUCCAAACUGAAGGACAUGUGUAUCCAGAUUAAAAUGACCUUCCAAAUGCUUAACAUAGUAAACAAAAAACAGGAGGAAAAGGAGGGGAGAAAAGAAAAAAAGAAGACUCACACAAGGCCGUGUUACGACAUUUCAUCAUACCAUAGAUAAAUCAGAUCCUGAAAGAUUUCAGAAAGGAAUAUGAGAUCACACAUAAAGGAACAGGAAUCAAAAUGACAUUACCCUUCUCAACAACACUGGAAGCUCCAAGAGAGUGCAGCAAUGCUUUCAUCCUCAGAGAAAAUAAUUAUCAAUACAAAAUAAUAUUCCCAGCUAAGCUAUCAAUCAUGAGGGUAGAAGAAAGGCAUUUUUAGCCAUUGCGUGGGAGUGCUAUAAUAAUGGUCCCAGUGAACCACACCUCCCUGUAUCCGCACCACUUUGCAAUGAGAAAUUUGCUGUUUCUCCUAGUGAGAGAGGGAGUCUAUUUCUUUACCCUUGGGCCUGGGCUGGCCUGGUGACUUGUUUUGACCAAUACAUGGAAGAAGUGACAUUAUGUGAGUUCUGCAGCUGAAGCUUUAAGAGGCCUUGAAGUUUCUCCUCACCUUCUUGGAACCUUGAGACCACCAUGCUGUGAGAAGCCUGGGCAUAUCUACUGGAGGCCGAGGGGCCACAUGACACGUCUAAAACUCAUACGUCAAGAUAUGGUAAUAUAAUGUGAAAUUCCUAGAGCAGCUUAAUGCUAGUCUCUAUUUGGCUACCUUUUUCUUUA
rnacentral:lncRNA from 1 species